UACGGAAGGCAGCAGUGGGGAAUAUUGCACAAUGGGCGAAAGCCUGAUGCAGCUAUGCCGCGUGUAUGAAGAAGGCCUUAGGGUUGUAAAGUACUUUCAUCGGGGAGGAAAAAACAAAACUAAUAAUUUUAUUUCUUGACGUUACCCGAAAAAGAAGCACCGGCUAACUCCGUGCCAGCAGCCGCGGUAAUACGGAGGGUGCUAGCGUUAAUCAGAAUUACUGGGCGUAAAGAGCACGUAGGUGGUUUUUUAAGUCAGAUGUGAAAUCCCUGGGCUUAACCUAGGAACUGCAUUUUGAAACUGAAAUACUAGAGUAUCGUAGAGGGAGGUAGAAUUCUAGGUGUAGCGGUGAAAUGCGUAGAUAUCUGGAGGAAUACCUGUGGCGAAAGCGGCCUCCUAAACGAAUACUGACACUGAGGUGCGAAAGCGUGGGGAGCAAAACAGGGAUUAGAUACC
rnacentral:rRNA from 1 species